rnacentral:rRNA from 1 species
GACGAACGCUGGCGGCGUGCCUAAUACAUGCAAGUAGGACGCAGUUGCGAACGGGUGAGUAACGCGUAGGUAACUGGCGAGUAGAGGGGGAUAACUAUUGGAAACGAUAGCUAAUACCGCCUACUUGUAGAUGGACCUGCGUUGUAUUAGCUAGUAGGUAGGGUAAAGGCCUACCUAGGCGACGAUACAUAGCCGACCUGAGAAGGAGAACCGCCACAACGGGACCGGGAAAAUGCCCAGACGCCCACGGGAGGGCAGCGGAGGGGAUCUUUGGACAUGGGGCGAACCCCGAACAAGCACAGCCGCGUGAGUUAAGAAGGGCUUUGGAGCGGUAAGCUAUGUUGUGAAGGAAGCGGUACUUAAAGAGAAAGGGACGGCUAACUACGUGCCAGCAGCCGCGGUAAUAC